GACGAACGCUGGCGGCGUGCUUAACACAUGCAAGUCGAACGGAGUGGCGAACGGGUUAGUAACACGUGGGUGAUCUGCCUUGCACUCUGGGAUAAGCUUGGGAAACUGGGUCUAAUACCGGAUAGUGCAAGAUGAGCUCGCGGCCUGUCAGCUUGUUGGUGGGGUAAUGGCCUACCAAGGCGUCGACGGGUAGCCGGCCUGUGAGGGUGUACGGCCAGAUUGGGACCGAGAUACGGCCCAGACUCCUACGGGAGGCAGCGGUGGGGAUUAGUGCUCAAUGGGCGGAAGCCUGAUGCAGCGACGCGGCGUGGGGGAUGACGGCCUUCGGGUUGUAAACUCGUUUCGACAGGGACGCGGUACCUGUAUAAGAAGCACCGGCUAACUACGUGCCAGCAGCCGCGGUAAUUG
rnacentral:rRNA from 1 species